AACGAACGCUGGCGGCAGGCCUAACACAUGCAAGUCGAGCGGACCUUUCGGGGUCAGCGGCGGACGGGUGAGUAACGCGUGGGAAUAUGCCCUUCUCUACGGAAUAGUCCUGGGAAACUGGGGGUAAUACCGUAUACGCCCUUUGGGGGAAAGAUUUAUCGGGGAAGGAUUAGCCCGCGUUGGAUUAGGUAGUUGGUGGGGUAAUGGCCUACCAAGCCGACGAUCCAUAGCUGGUUUGAGAGGAUGAUCAGCCACACUGGGACUGAGACACGGCCCAGACGCCUACGGGAGGCAGCAGUGGGGAAUCUUAGACAAUGGGGGCAACCCUGAUCUAGCCAUGCCGCGUGAGUGAUGAAGGCCUUAGGGUUGUAAAGCUCUUUCAGCUGGGAAGAUAAUGACGGUACCAGCAGAAGAAGCCCCGGCUAACUCCGUG
rnacentral:rRNA from 1 species